GAUUAACGCUGGCGGCGUGCCUAACGCAUGCGAGUCGAGCGGCAGCGAGUUUUACACUGAAUUCUGGAAGCUUCUAGUUGAAAGAGAAGAUUUAUUCAAGAAUUUUGUGUAAAAUGUCGGCGAGCGGCGGACGGCUGAGUAACGCGUGGGAACGUACCCCAAAGUGAGGGAUAACGCAUCGAAAGGUGUGCUAAUACCGCAUAUGGUCUUCGGAUUAAAGCCUUCGGGCGCUUUGGGAACGGCCUGCGUAAGAUUAGAUAGUUGGUGGGGUAAUGGCCUACCAAGUCGACGAUCUUUAACUGGUUUGAGAGGAUGAUCAGUCAGACUGGAACUGAGACACGGUCCAGACUCCUACGGGAGGCAGCAGUGAGGAAUCUUCCACAAUGGGCGAAAGCCUGAUGGAGCAACGCCGCGUGCAGGAUGAAGGCCUUCGGGUUGUAAACUGCUUUUAUAAGUGAGGAUUAUGACAGUAACUUAUGAAUAAGGAUCGGCUAACUACGUG
rnacentral:rRNA from 1 species